UACGUAGGGUGCAAGCGUUGUCCGGAAUUAUUGGGCGUAAAGAGCUCGUAGGCGGUUUGUCGCGUCUGCUGUGAAAACCCGAGGCUCAACCUCGGGCCUGCAGUGGGUACGGGCAGACUAGAGUGCGGUAGGGGAGAUUGGAAUUCCUGGUGUAGCGGUGGAAUGCGCAGAUAUCAGGAGGAACACCGGUGGCGAAGGCGGCUAUCUGGACAGAGUCUGACGCUGAGGCGCGAAAGCUAGGGGAGCAAACAGG
rnacentral:rRNA from 1 species